GUGACAUGUCGCUGGACCCAACACCUACAGGAUUGGAUCAGAGGCUACUGAAUAAGCCCUGCCCAUAGGCGGCCUUGUGACAUAUGUCUGCAUCUAUCGCCUAAGUGAUGUGACUCUUUUUCUGCCUGCAGCCUGCACAUAGAGAAGAUUGUGACAUAUAGCUCUGCCCAGUAACCAGGUGAUGUGUCUUUUCUGGCAGGUCUUUUCCCACAGGGAGCAUUGUGAAACAUCACUGGGCUCAGCCACCAGGUUAUGUGACUCUUCUGCCUGUGCCCUGCUUCCAGAAAAUAUUGUGACAUUCCUCAUACAGCAUCCAGGUGAUGUGACUCUUCUGCUCAUUUUCUACUUACAGGAGACAUGCCCAAAAAAGGGAUUGUGGCAUAUCUCUGAGCCCAGCACCCAAAUGUUGUGACUCUCCUGCCUGAGCUGUGCCUAGAGAAAAUAUUAUAAUAUGUCACCGGACCCUGCAUGCAAGUGAUCCAAUUCUCCAGUCUGGGCCUUGCCCAUAGAGGAGAUUGAGACAUAUUCCAGGUGAAGAAUUCAGGUCAUGCAAAUGGAGGCGGAUUUUGACAUAUCAUAAAGCCAACAUAAUACACAGUCUGCAGGUGGAAUUGGGACUCUCAUGCAUGGAUCCAGUUCAUCAUUGAUACUGUGACUCAUGUACUUGGAUGCAACUCACAGGAGGUGUUGACGCUUUUUACCUGAAGCUGGGACAUGUGUGGAAUUGUGAAUCCUAGCCCUAGAUCUUCCCACAGGUGGGAUUUUGACAUAUAACUGCACCCAGCACACAGGUGAAGUAUCUCGUAUGCUCAUCCUGCCAAAAGUUAUGAGUGUCACCCUCACACAUGGACAGAGACCUCUGGUUAGGUCUUGAAUCUUGUACAUGGACACAGUCCGCAGUUGGAAUGUCAUAUGUAGAUCCAGCCACAGGUGUGAUGUUGACCUAUUUAUAAAGUUAGCUCACAGGCACAUUGAUAACUCUCAUACCUGGAUCCAGCCAAUAAAAGAUAUGUUGACUAUU
rnacentral:lncRNA from 1 species